AGAGUUUGAUCCUGGCUCAGGACGAACGCUGGCGGCGUGCUUAACACAUGCAAGUCGAACGGAAAGGCCCUGCUUUUGUGGGGUGCUCGAGUGGCGAACGGGUGAGUAACACGUGAGUAACCUGCCCUUGACUUUGGGAUAACUUCAGGAAACUGGGGCUAAUACCGGAUAGGAGCUCCUGCUGCAUGGUGGGGGUUGGAAAGUUUCGGCGGUUGGGGAUGGACUCGCGGCUUAUCAGCUUGUUGGUGGGGUAGUGGCUUACCAAGGCUUUGACGGGUAGCCGGCCUGAGAGGGUGACCGGCCACAUUGGGACUGAGAUACGGCCCAGACUCCUACGGGAGGCAGCAGUGGGGAAUAUUGCACAAUGGGCGGAAGCCUGAUGCAGCAACGCCGCGUGCGGGAUGACGGCCUUCGGGUUGUAAACCGCUUUCGCCUGUGACGAAGCGUGAGUGACGGUAAUGGGUAAAGAAGCACCGGCUAACUACGUGCCAGCAGCCGCGGUGAUACGUAGGGUGCGAGCGUUGUCCGGAUUUAUUGGGCGUAAAGGGCUCGUAGGUGGUUGAUCGCGUCGGAAGUGUAAUCUUGGGGCUUAACCCUGAGCGUGCUUUCGAUACGGGUUGACUUGAGGAAGGUAGGGGAGAAUGGAAUUCCUGGUGGAGCGGUGGAAUGCGCAGAUAUCAGGAGGAACACCAGUGGCGAAGGCGGUUCUCUGGGCCUUUCCUGACGCUGAGGAGCGAAAGCGUGGGGAGCGAACAGGCUUAGAUACCCUGGUAGUCCACGCUGUAAACGGUGGGUACUAGGUGUGGGGUCCAUUCCACGGGUUC
rnacentral:rRNA from 1 species